UGACUUCUCCUAAUCUAUAAGCAGCAAGAGCAGAUGUGCUUGUAAGAAACAAAGAUCUUGUUUUCAUACAAAUGCGCUCAAAAUAAAACACAAAGGAAGAAAAAUACCCAGAGCACAUAAUGCAAAGAACAAGAAUUGCUUCUAAAUAGAAUGUUUUACAAAGUUUUCCAUAAAGCCUCAGCUGCUCCUCAAGCCACAACCGGCUUGAACAUGGAUGGCAGACAUGAAAUUACAGUAUUCACAAAAUUAGUAUUCAGUUUGCAGAAUCUCUCUUUCCAAAGCCUUCAGGCAUACUUUAUGCAUGCACAAUUACAGAAGCAGGAAAAUCACAUGGAGAGUGAAAAUAUCAGAAAGUCGCUAAUGUUGGGCUUAGAACUGAUCAAAGAGUUUUGUGUACGAUAGACUGCCUAAUGGUACCAGGCCUGACAGCCUGCAGUGUCCCCCUCACAUCAAGAAUGACCUCUGAAGGCAAUAUUUCCAAAGACUUGCGGGUAAGGUACUCCUCUGUCUUCCAUAUUACGUUGUGAAGGAACAUCAUUCCUUCCUUUUUAAAUAUUCAACCAGUCUGAUGCCAAACAUUCAUCUAACAUAAAUAUGGGAAAAUGUUAAACAAUAUAUUUUGAACAUACCAGAUACCAUAUUCAUUUUAUUUGUUGGCUACUACCUGAUGUUUUAGGAAGCUCUUCUGGGUUAGGUUAUUCAAGGGACAUGAGUAUUUGCAUAAGAGCCUUAUCUCUAAUUGCAAAGUGACACUCUUAAGACUGUUAAAAGAAACUAUUGUUCAAGGUAGAUGGAAUUAGAAGACCCUCAGCAUGUGGGACUUAUAUGCCAGCUGAAUAGACCCCAGACUAUCAGUGCACUCAGGGAAGUAAAGUUUGACAGUAUUUAUAUGCUUUACUUAUGAACUGGAUUUGGUAUCUUAGAAUAUUUUCUUUGAAAAGGUAGUUCCAUUUUUGGCUUUCUUGCUUCUUCAUAGUGCCAAUCUAGGUCAACAGGAGUAAGUGAGACCAUUGUUCCAUAUCCCGCUUAAAAAGAGAACACUACUUCAAAGACAAGAACAACAUCACCUGACAAAAAUAAAAGAAGUUAUCGGUUUUAAA
rnacentral:lncRNA from 1 species